GUUACAAUUUACAAUGUCUCUUUGUCUUAUCUCUAUAUAUGUACAAAAGAAAAAAAGCUAUCAUGAUUUUCAACAUCACCGUGUCCUACCUUGUAUUUUUCUUUUGGUUUCAGCCGAUUGCAUAAUCUGCCAGAGAUACAAAGUUCAAAUACCUCCAUUUCUUUAUAUCUGUCUGGCCAAGAUCUACUCCCCUUCCGCAUCAGCUAUGUUCUAAGAACCUACUGGUAGACUCGUUCUCGGAAUCAAAAACCAACCAUGUGAUGUCGGCUCGUUUCCCCACGGCCUUGGAACUUCUCUUUGCAUUAGAAGAAGAAUCUGAAUUCUUGUCCAUAUACAAUAGUAUAAGGUUUUAUUAAUAGACUUAUCAAUUGUUAUGUGCACUGAAAGCCUAUGUGUUCUCUAGUUGUUUGUGUGUGUGUGUGUUUUUUUUAAAAGUUUUCGUUAGGGUUGAACAUUGGGAUAACGUCCUAUUUCCCCAUCAAAACUAUCUUAUCGUACUAGAUGGAGCCGGAACUUUGACAUCGUCGUAAGUAUCCACAAAACAAGAUCUCUCAACCUAUAUAUCUCCAAAUCUAAAGUUCUCAUUUACUUCUCCAUAUUUUUUGGUUUAAUCGAUUUACAAAUUAAACCGCUAGAAAACCAGUCAAACCAGAUAUAAAACAUAGUUUAAAACCCGAUUGACCUUAUAAACCCGACCCGGUCUAAGAAUUUUUAUAACCCGAUCAGAAAUUCUCAAACCUAAGAACCCUAAAAUCAUCAUUUUCUAAAAUCAUCAUUUUCUAAAAUCAUGAACACCGUCUCUUGCAUUGGGGCAAUAUGUUUCAGGUGGGUGCAUAAACCCAGCCAAUUUCCUACCAAACUCUCGCUUAUCCACCACUGGCGCCAAGAGAAGCCCUCGUGACUUCCACAUUCCAAUUUUAUCUUCAUUUCUGAUCGGAUUUGAUGUGUUCUUGGUUCAGUGAACCAUGAUUCCAAUCACCAGAACUUGAAUAAACCCAACUAAGAGUUUUGGAGCUGCAAUCGUCUAUAAAAAAGGACCACGUGAAUCUCCAUUAUAUACAACAAUUAUGAUUGAUCUUUUAUGUCAAUUUGGUUGAAUUGUUUAUUUGAUUUUUCUUGGAUGCAGUGGAUUUUCUGGGUUGGACGGACCAUUCAUCCGAGCAGCCUUCAUUAGCAUUCAAAAGCAGAAGCUGAUUUUUUUUUUUUGGGUUUUUAGAAGUUCACAGUUGCUUUAUCUUUGUUUGUAUUGAGCUUUGACAUUUUUGAGAUCUGGUCAUAUUUGUUUAAAUGGAUUUUUCUAUUUCUUCUUCUCUCUGGGUUAUUUGAUGUGGAUGAUCUGGUUAAACGUUAAUGAAAAUAUGAUAUAGUGUUCGUUGAGAUGGGGAAAAGAGAUUUAAAAAAUAAAAAAGAAUUGGUGAUUUAAUUAUAUAAACGGGUCGAAAUCAGGUUGAAAUCGGUUUACAACUUUUGUUAGUUGGUUAGACAACCAAUAAACCAAUAAUUAACCAAUUAAACCUGUAUUUAUGGAGAAAUUGAUGAGAAUUAUGGAUUCAAGGAGAUUUAGAAAUAAAAUUUUGGAUUUGGAGAGAUAUAGGAUGAGAGACAUUUGUGCAGAGAUAUUUAAGACGAGGUGAAAGUUCUGGCUUUAUCUAGUAAGAUGUGAUAAUUUUCAUGUGGAACUAGGACGUUUUCCC